GGUGAGGCCUGCCCAGUGGUCGUAGCGAAAUCCGUGUUAUAAACGAAGUAGCACGAGUAAGGACGAUUAAACGGCCGCGGUAAAUCUGACCGUGAUAAUGUAGCGCAAUCAAUAGCCAAUUAAUUGUUGGCAAGUAUGAAUGGCGUAACGAAUGCCCCACUGUCUCAAGAUAAAAACCAGUGAAAUUGAAAUCGUGGUGAAGAUGCCACGUACAAAUCUGGUAAUCACAGUAGUCAAUGACCCCAUUGAGCUUUACUGGAAGCUUAUAUUGUAUUUUUUCGAGUUAACGUGUAGAUUAUGCGGGUAUAUCAUGAAAAACCGCUCGUUAGGUUGAGAGAUAUUGAGUAUACGCCGGACAGUUUGGUUGGGGCGACCGCUUCUAAAAAGUAACGAAGGUGUACAUAAGGUAAAUAACGUAAUAGUAUAAAUGCAUAAAUGGUGACGACAGCAAGGGUAACUCCCGGAACUGACACGGGGGGACCCCUGGGGUUAUAAUGACCCGUUAGUUAAGAGUGGGGUUGCUACGAGCAACGAAUAAAAGUUACCAUGGGGAUAACAGCGUAAUAUCGUUGAGAGUUCUUAUCGACGACGAUGUUUGCGACCUCGAUGUUGAAUUGCGGUAUCCUAGAGGUGCAGCCGCUUCUAAGGGUUGGACUGUUCGUCCAUUAAAACCGUACAUGAUUUGAGUUCAGACCGGCGUG
rnacentral:rRNA from 1 species